rfam:Triticum aestivum genome assembly, contig: Triticum_aestivum_CS42_TGACv1_scaffold_146458_2BS
CCGCUCGGAGACGCCGAGAUCAUCUCCCACGUCAUCGCCGGCCUUGACAUCGACUACAAUCCAGUGAUCUCGGCCUUGGCGGCGCGGAUCGAACCUGUUACGGUUCAGGAGCUGUAUAGCCAGCUCCUGAGUUUUGACG